UACGUAGGGUGCAAGCGUUGUCCGGAAUUAUUGGGCGUAAAGAGCUCGUAGGCGGUCUGUCACGUCGGCUGUGAAAACCCGAGGCUCAACCUCGGGCCUGCAGUCGAUACGGGCAAACUAGAGUGUUGCAGGGGAGACUGGAAUUCCUGGUGUAGCGGUGAAAUGCGCAGAUAUCAGGAGGAACACCGGUGGCGAAGGCGGGUCUCUGGGCAACAACUGACGCUGAGGCGCGAAAGCUAGGGGAGCAAACGGG
rnacentral:rRNA from 1 species